UUGGGAUGCCACGGAGAAACCGGGGAAGCCCCCGGAGGAAAACUCCGUGUUGCCUAGACCACGGGUCAUAAAGAAGUUUUACGUUUAAGGUCACGACAGUCUGUUUUACGGUUCAAUGGAAGACGGGGAACAUCUUGACCAGGAAAGAAUACGAGCAUAAAUUCAAGCCUCACAAGAGGAACUGGAAAUGAGAUGGCCGACCACAGCGUCUAAUGCUGAAUUCGAAAAGCUGGAGAGAAAUAGGUUACUGCCUAUUUUAAGGUACUAACUGGAUGUUUAAACAUCAGACUAGCUACGGUCAAAUGAGACUCCAGGAGCUGUAACAGAGUAAGAUCCCCCCACCAAGCAUGACAAAUUUGGCUGCAAUUUGGUCAGAAUGGUCAGUAGCGAGCCACUCCUCAAUACCGAACAAUCAAUUAGACGUUUCAAUAAUAGAGGAAAAUAUUACUAUGAAAAAACGAGUAUAAACAAUAUGGCCGAACAUCUUGUCGGUAAGAAUGAAACCUGGAGAAUAUAAUUUGUAAACCCUUCGCUACUUUUUCUUGUUAUUCUGCUUUCGUUCCAGACCACGAUUUCAAAGCUGUUAUUUCAGAGUCUCUGUUACUCAACCGGAACUUGACAAACACAUAAUAUUCCUGUAUUACAGAUUCCAAGAACAUUUAUCUUAUUUGCAGUAAGAGGACAAGGUGAGGCAUUACCGCUACGAACACAGACCCACCUCAACAUUCGUGAUUCCCGGUUGGGCGUUACAUUCGCUCUUUCCGUUUUUAAAAAAAACAUUAUUUUUUGGCAUAGUAGUGAGUUCGUUUUACGAAAACGUCCCAGAAAAACAAAAGGAAAUGCUGUUAAAUUACAAAGAAGUUCAACUUCGUUAACUUCAGAAACUACGGAAUCCGACAACGUCUCUCUUAAUGACUACAUUCCUUUCAUUAAUUAUCCUCCAUAAACCUCCAGCCGCCAUAAUUUAAGACCGUUACGUAAUCUACAAAAACAUUUGUUAAUACCGGUCCUCGUCUUACAACAGUAGACCCUACAUAUUCGUUUAUUGUCAUAAACUCAUUUAAUGUCAUACCUUAACGUUCAAAUCACUUUCUCACGUCAGCCUGCAACACUCAUUCAUCGCAUUUUUUUUUAAAAAAAUCAAAAUUACCUAGAUUACUAUAUAAAUUCAUUCCUCUCAGGAACGUAGCCCACAAUUUUAACAGUCUAUUUGGGGAGGGAUUAUGUAUAAAAAUUCUUCGAUUUACGGAGCGUUUGCCAGGACCACCGCUCGUAGGUGUAUACCUACAAAAGACACGUAUUUUCACUAUAAAUCGAAAUGAAACUCACAGUAAGAGAUGUGACAGAGUCAAAACAGUAGUGUUAUCUCACGGAAAACAGAUCAGACCAGCCAACGAAAACAAAAGAAGGUAGCCACAGAAUAAACAAUCCUAAUUCCAUUACUUAGCGUGUUCCAAAUAGCAGUCAUAACUAGGUCGUGAACAGUGUUAUUAUAAAUGAUAAAUUUAUAUCGUAUAUAAACUGACAGAUGUAUUAACAAGUGGUUUUGUUUGUUACAUGAUUGUG